UUAUGCUUGUCUCACAGAUUAAGCCAUGCAUGUCUAAGUACAAGCCUCACUAAGGUGAAACCGCGAAUGGCUCAUUAUAUCACACCUAAUCUACUGGAUAGUUAACAGUUACUUGGAUAACUGCGGUAAUUCUGGAGCUAAUACAUGCACAAAGCCCCGAACUUACGUGAGGGGCGCUUUUAUUAGAUCAAAACCAAACGGCCUCGGCUGUUUUCUUGGUGACUCUGAAUAACUUUGGGCUGAUCGCAUAGCCUAGCGCUGGCGACAUAUCCUUCGAAGGUGUGCCCUAUCAACUGUCGACUGUGGCAUAGACGCCCACAGUGGUUUUGACGGGUAACGGGGAAUCAGGGUUCGAUUCCGGAGAGGGAGCCUUAAAAACGGCUACCACAUCUAAGGAAGGCAGCAGGCACGCAAAUUACCCAAUGAACGAAGUUCGAGGUAGUGACGAAAAAUAACGAUACAGGACUCAUCUGAGGCCCUGUAAUCGGAAUGAGUACACUUUAAAACCGUCCCCGAGGAUCUAUUGGAGGGCAAGUCUGGUGCCAGCAGCCGCGGUAAUUCCAGCUCCAAUAGCGUAUAUUAAAGUUGUUGUGGUUAAAAAGCUCGUAGUUGGAUCUCGGCGGUCUGAGGGCGGUUCACUUCGUAGUGCUACUGCCC
rnacentral:rRNA from 1 species